AUUGAACGCUGGCGGAAUGCUUUGCACAUGCAAGUCGAACGGCAGCACGGGGCAACCUGGUGGCGAGUGGCGAACGGGUGAGUAAUACAUCGGAACGUGCCCAGUCGUGGGGGAUAACGUAGCGAAAGUUACGCUAAUACCGCAUACGAUCUAAGGAUGAAAGCGGGGGAUCGCAAGACCUCGCGCGAUUGGAGCGGCCGAUGUCAGAUUAGGUAGUUGGUGGGGUAAAGGCCCACCAAGCCGACGAUCUGUAGCUGGUCUGAGAGGACGACCAGCCACACUGGGACUGAGACACGGCCCAGACUCCUACGGGAGGCAGCAGUGGGGAAUUUUGGACAAUGGGCGCAAGCCUGAUCCAGCCAUUCCGCGUGCAGGAUGAAGGCCUUCGGGUUGUAAACUGCUUUUGUACGGAGCGAAAAGGCUCUCUCUAAUACAGGGGGCCCAUGACGGUACCGUAAGAAUAAGCACCGGCUAACUACGUGCCAGCAGCCGCAGUAA
rnacentral:rRNA from 1 species